rnacentral:rRNA from 1 species
UACGUAGGGUGCGAGCGUUAAUCGGAAUUACUGGGCGUAAAGCGUGCGCAGGCGGUUCUGUAAGGCCGAUGUGAAAUCCCCGGGCUUAACCUGGGAACUGCAUUGGUGACUGCAGAGCUAGAGUGUGUCAGAGGGAGGUGGAAUUCCGCGUGUAGCAGUGAAAUGCGUAGAGAUGCGGAGGAACACCGAUGGCGAAGGCAGCCUCCUGGGAUAACACUGACGCUCAGGCACGAAAGCGUGGGGAGCAAACAGG